rnacentral:lncRNA from 1 species
CUGAACGCCUCUAAGUCAGAAUCCCGCCCAGGCGGAACGAUACGGCAGCGCCGCGGGAGCCUCGGUUGGCCUCGGAUAGCCGGUCCCCCGCCGUCCCCGCCGGCGGGCCGCCGCGCGCGCCCGCGUGCGGCGUGUCCCGUCGCGCGUCGGGACCGGGGUCCGGUGCGGAGAGCCCUUCGUCCUGGGAAACGGGGCGCGGCCGGAAAGCGCGGCCGCCCCCUCGCCCGUCACGCACCGCACGUUCGUGGGGAACCUGGUGCUAAACCAUUCGUAGACGACCUGCUUCUGGGUCGGGGUUUCGUACGUAGCAGAGCAGCUCCCUCGCUGCGAUCUAUUGAAAGUCAGCCCUCGACACAAGGGUUUGUCGCUCCCGGCGCCGACGCCGCCACCGUGGCGGCGGCGGUGGUCGGGGGGGGGGCCGCGGCCGGCUCGCUCGGCUUCCGUGCGUCCGUCUCGCUCUUCCUCUCUCUUCCCGUCCCAUCCCUCCGCGCCGCGGGUCGCGCCCCCCUGCCCGUCCCCGGCGAAGGGGAGCGGGGGUUGGCGGUUCUCGCACGCCGCGUCCCGCGGACGCCCACGGCGCGCCGGGCGGUCGCGGGGCAGGUUGCGCGUCCCGCUGCGGCCUGUCGGGGCGAGAGGGAAAGAAGGGGAAAGCGGGCGCGCCCCUCCAGGCGCCGCCCCCCGCGCCUCCGCUACGCGCCUCGCCUCCUCCUCCGCUUCACCCCGCCGGCGGGCCUUCCCAGGGCCCGCUGGGCUGGGACGGGGCGAAGGGGAGUGGUGGGGGGAGGUCGCAUCCCGGAGGCGUGGAGGGGGGAACGUUGGAGGGCCGGCCCUGCGGGAGCCUCUUCCCAGGGGGAAACCGCGGGCCGGGGGCGUCGUGGGGCCCUGGGUGGCCUCCGAACACGUCCGCGAGCGGGUGCUCCGGGCCGCCACCGGCGUGGGGUGGUGGUCUGUGGGUGCGUGCUCCAGCGUGGCCCUCGCGUGCCUCACUUCCUAAGGGCCCGCGGGGUCGACCAGCUGUCCCGGCCGACUCGGGCCCGGGUCCGAGGGCCCGCGGGGUCGACCAGCUGUCCCGGCCGACUCGGGCCCGGGUCCGAGGGCCCGCGGGGUCGACCAGCUGUCCCGGCCGACUCGGGCCCGGGUCCGAGGGCCCGCGGGGUCGACCAGCUGUCCCGGCCGACUCGGGCC